ACGGAAGGCAGCAGUGGGGAAUAUUGGGCAAUGGGCGAAAGCCUGACCCAGCAACGCCGCUUGAAGGAAGAAGGUCUUCGGAUUGUAAACUUCUUUUAUGAGGGACGAAGGAAGUGACGGUACCUCAUGAAUAAGCCACGGCUAACUACGUGCCAGCAGCCGCGGUAAUACGUAGGUGGCAAGCGUUAUCCGGAUUUACUGGGUGUAAAGGGCGCGUAGGCGGGGAUGCAAGUCAGAUGUGAAAUCUAUGGGCUUAACUCAUAAACUGCAUUUGAAACUGUAUCUCUUGAGUGCUGGAGAGGUAGAUGGAAUUCCUUGUGUAGCGGUGAAAUGCGUAGAGAUUCGGAGGAACACCAGUGGCGAAGGCGGCCUACUGGGCUUUAACUGACGCUGAGGCUCGAAAGUGUGGGGAGCAAACAGGAUUAGAUACCCUGGUA
rnacentral:rRNA from 1 species